ACGUAGGGUGCGAGCGUUAAUCGGAAUUACUGGGCGUAAAGAGUGCGUAGGCGGUUUCUCAGGUCCGCUGUGAAAUCCCCGGGCUCAACCUGGGAAUGGCAGUGGAAACUAGGAGACUUGAAUCUGGCAGAGGGGGGUGGAAUUCCACGUGUAGCAGUGAAAUGCGUAGAGAUCAGGAGGAACAUCCGUGGCGAAGGCGACUGCCUGGGCCAACACUGACACUGAGGCACGAAAGCGUGGGGAGCAAACAGGA
rnacentral:rRNA from 1 species